rnacentral:lncRNA from 1 species
CAUUCCAGAAGGUAGCUCAUAACAUACAUUAUUGAUACGAAUAGACUUAGGGGAGAAAAGCAGAAAUGAUCAACUUUAAUAGCUAACAUAGACUUAACACUUACAUUGUGUCAGGCCCUGUUUUAAGUGCUUUACAUGUAUUAGUCUUUAAAUAAUUUAAUUCUCACAAUAACACAGUUAGGUUGAUACUAGAGUUAUCUUAGUUUAUAGUUGAAAUAGACACGGAGUAUUUAGGUAUGUUGUUCAGAGUCAUAGUUCUUAAAUUGCAGAGCUGGGAUUUAAACUCUGGCAGUCCAGCUCCAAAGGUCUUGCACAGUUGGAGGCAAUAAUUGGUAUCUUCAGCCCUGCAGGCUUCAUAUCAUGGUGAUAGAGUUGUGUACAAAGCGAAAUGGCAGCUAGCAGAAAGAGUCCCUCUAACUGGGCAGCUCAGAGGCUUUGCUACUCAGAGUUAAAGACAUGCUUCUCAGGAUUGUGUCACUGGCAUUUAAUUUUAGAACAGUUACAUAGCAGCAGGGAUUCUAACUCGUAUUUACUGAAAUCAAAUUAAAUGUCUGCUCAUUUUGUUAUCUUGGAAAUGUACUUUACCUUAAUGAUACGCUAAGUAGAUACAAUGUCAUGGCAAGUUCACAAGCCUUGAACAUUGGCCAGCUUUUGUGAGGUGUUUAAUUUAUAUGUUCUCCAACUUCUUUUAUGUUCUACAUGUUGCUUAUUUUCCUUUCACAAAUCUGCCAUGCUUGUAACAGAGGGUGUAUUUUUGGUUCGAAUGGAUAGGUAGCCUAAGACGUUCUACGCCCUAGGAGUUCUGAAACGUUCAAAUCCUUUCCAGCUAGGAAAAAAAAAAAAAAAAACAAGUAACAAGGUAAUAAGUACUCGGGGGAACACAGAGAUAAUAAAUUCCAUGCUGCUUGUUCUCAUUUAUAGCUAGACCUGGGGAUUUGUAAUGCUGAACUCUUUUCUAUGCCACAGAGAAUGACUGGGUUCAGGAUUUCCAUCCUUAAUUGCUGAGGCCAUUGGUCUAGCCAUUUCUACCAAAUGGAUAAGAAGGCUUAUGGUUCAGAUGACAUAAUAUUAUACUGAGCCAUAUAGUUGUCAUCAGCAGUACAUCUAGGAAAUUGCAUGAGUUUGGAUUACACCAUCUGAUACCAGGCAAAUCUGAAUCCAUGGAGCUUCAUUCAUUUGAAUUCCACAUCAUGAACUUAGGAUCACUCGACCUGGCUUUGCCCAUUGCGGAGAAGACCUUGCUAAAUGUAUGGACAAGUCGAAGGCUUGGGCAAAAUGGUGAUGUUGGUGUUGAACCUUCCCAACUAGUAUGUCCUUUUCCUGCCGUGAUGAUGCCACCUCUCUCUCUGGUGAAUCAUGUGUAUGCCACCAUCUUCCUCCUCCAUCAAAUUUGGGACUUGUGAAAUAAUUUGAUAAAAUCACUUGUGGUAAUAAGAGAUUCACUGAUUAAUUUAUUUAUUUAUUUAUUUAUUUAUACUAUAUCUGGGACAUUUUCAUGUUAAUAGAACUAAAGUCUUUAUCCAAAGGAAUAAAUGCUUUCUAGAAGUAAGAAACUGGCCAAGAAAAUAUAGUUUUGAAAUUGAACAUUUCUUUCUGGUGCCUAUAAACAUAUAAAAGCCACUUUUACUGCAUACUUGAAGGGUUGAUCUUGCGUAUUAAAUAUUCAGUUGUUGAGAAAAAUAAACUGUGUACCAGGUCUUUUUGUUAACUUCUAAAAGCAAAUGAUGAGAGUAAUUAUAAAUGGUUCUUAACUACAGUAUAUUAAUAUGAUCUGAUUAUACAGUGCUUAUAAAAACUAGUAAAAUUAUUUUACAUGCAAACAAUAUUAAACACUUCUGUAAUACGAAUUUUGCACUAUUCUAGAGAAUAAUAAUAAAGAUAUAAAGGGCUGUAUAGGUCAGCGUUUCCUAAGUAUAGUCUCUGUACCAACAGCAUCAGCAUCACCUGAGAACUUAAUCAAAAUGCAUGUUCUUAGGCUUCACCUGAGAACUGCCACACCCAAAACCCUGUGUUUUAACAAACUCUCUUGGUAAUUUUGAUAUACUCUAAAGUUUGAAAACCAAGGUUGUAGAUGAUUAUGUUCGGACUCACCCUAAUUCACAGAUGAAUAAAUUGAAGCCCAGAAAGAUUGAGACUGAGCAAAGGUGGUGAUUCUUAGCAGGUUCUUUUUACUAUCCUAAGAUAAGUCCGUCUGGCAAAUCAGUUUGAAUGAGUGAGGUUUGGUGCAGCAUCUUUGAUUGACAGGACAGUCAAAGCACUCCUUGAUUGUGUGACUUUACCAAUGUAAGGCCCAGGGGUGAGACUUGAACAACUUCAAUCUCUUGGAGCCUCUCAGGGAUCAGGCUGCUCCAUAUUCACUCUCUUUAAAAAGAUCAGCAUUCAUUUUCCUUUAAAGUUGGGGUUAGUCUGCCUGAGUUGCAUACUAAUAAGAUGAAUGAAUUCAUUACCAAAAGCUAGAUUAAGUUUUGCAGCUGUUCCGCCUGGGGACCUAGUAGAAAAAGGGGCCAGCACAACCGAAAAUCCUUUACUGAUCAAGGCAGUCUUAAAAUGCAAUCUUAUGUGGUAAGUAGCAUUCAGAAAUACUGAAAUGAAGUGAAAAAUUAAAAUGACUUUUUGCCUAAAUAUGUGGGGAAUGGGGAAAUCCUGGGGAGCCACAUAUAUCAGGGCUGUGGAAUGCAAAUGCUGUCUUUUCAGCUGGUGUACCUCACGGGAAAUGCCACUUGUGGAUGUAGAAAUGAGAAUUCACAUUCAAGAUUUCAAGUGGCUGUGUAAAUUUUAGGACAAAUACUGAUAUUUGCGACUUUAGCAACCUCAUUUAUCUAUUAAUCUCUAAGUCACAACCUCUAAACUAGGCAGUAUCUAGGUACUGAUUUAUUCUGAGCUGUUCUCUUCAGUAUAGGAAUGUCAACAUGUGCAUUCAUUCAUUUCUUCCUUCGUAAAUGUAGUCAUUUAUCCUCUCAAUAUUUUAAAACUAUCUGUGAUGUGCCAGGACUAUUCUGGGAUUGUUUUUCUCUCAUUUCUUGCCUUUUAUUCUUGAUUGAAUGAGUCAUUUUUUACCUUGUUUUUCCCUGUACUCAUUUGGAAGUUGCUCGUUCUGUUUCUUUCUUUUGGUGGUUACUCUAGAAAUUUUACCAAAUAUACUUAAAUUGUUGAAGUUAAUCAAAACCUUGACCCUCUUCCCAGUAAUACAAGUUCUUGCAGAGUUUAAUUCUGCUUAUCCCCUUUUGACUUUCAUCACUUGCUGUAUUUGGAAGUCUGCUUAAAAACAAUUGACAUUAUUAUUACUGUUUUGUACUAUGUUGAUUAAUAUUUCGCUUUAUUCCAUCCUGCUUUUCAGAUCUUACAUCACAUCUAGAAUUAAUUUCCUUUAGCCUGAAAGGUGUCCUUUAGAUUAUGUUUUAGUAAGAGUAUGCUAGUGAUGAACUCUAUUAGAGUUAUAAAUGUCUAUUUUUAUUUCAGUUUCUUUUUAAUGGAAGUAUAAUUGACUUAGAAAGUUACAUUAGUGUGUUUUACAUCACAGUGAUUCAUUAUUUUUAUACAUUACAAAAUGAUGAACACAAUAAGCCUAGUUACUCCAGUCUUGAGAGAUAUUCCACAAGGUAGUAGACAUUUAGUUGGCAGGUUUUUUAUUUUUGUAUUUUGAAGCCUUUAUUCCACUAUUAGCAGGACUCCACUGAUGUGUUGAGCAAUCAGCUGUCUAACUUUUCCUUUGCAUAUGACCUGGCUCCUACCCACCCCAUCCCCGGGGAAAUAUUUUUUUUCUCCUUGUUCACUUUUAGCAAUUGUAAUAUAGUUUCCUUUUUUGGAAUUUAUUUUAUUUGGGAUGCUCUAGAUUUCUUAAACCUUUGGAUUGCUGUCUCUGAUUAGUUCCUGGAAUUUUUUUCAGAUAUACGCAUACUUCAUUUCAUUAUGCUUUGCCUUACUGUACUUUGCAGGUAUUCCAUUUUUUUUACAAACCGAAGAUUUGCAGCAACCCUACAUUGAUCAAGUUUAUCAGAGCCAUUUUUUUCCAACAGCACUCUUUCAUUAUUAUUUAUUUAUUUAUUUUUGGUCUUUUUGUCUUUUUUAAGGCUGCACCCAAGGCAUAUGGAGUUUCCUAGGCUUGAGGUCCAUUUGGAGCUGUAGUUGCCAGCCUAUGCCACAGCCACAGCAACACCAGAUCUGAGCUGCAUCUGCAACCUACACCACAGCCAAUGGCAACGCCAGAUCCUUAACACACUGAGCAAGGCCAGGGAUCAAACCUGCAUCCUCUUGGAUGCUGGUGAGAUUCGUUUCCACUGAGCCAAGGUGGGAACUGCUCUUUCUUUAUUACAUUUUUUAUGAUGGUCUGUGAUCAAUGAUCUUUGAUGUUAUUACUAUGACUCACUGAAGGCUCAGAUGAUGAUUAGCUUUUUUUAAGCAAUAAAGUGAUUUUAAUUUAUGUACAUUGUUUUUUUUAAGACAUACUGCUAUUGCACACUUAAUAGAUUACAAUAUAAUGUAAACAUAACUUUUAGAAGCACUGGGAAACCACAAAAUUUGUGACUCACUUUAUUGCAGUAUUUGCUUUAUUGUAUUGGUCUAGAACUGAAGCCAUAUCUCUAAGGUCUGCCUGUAUCAGCUUUUCAAAUAUUGCCCUAACCCAUGCUGUCUCUUAUCUCAUUUACUUUUUCAGUAUUUAUGCCUUGUAUUUUCCCCACCCCGUACUCUCUCUUCUGCAUUGUUUGUCUCUUAUUUUCUCUUGAUGCUGAAUUCAGGAUCAUUUAUCCUGUCUUAUUUUCCUAAUACAUAGUAAGCAUUAAGUGAAUUUUUGCUGAGUGAAAUGAAAUAAUGAACUUAAAAAAAGAUUCUCAGGAUAUGAAAAUAACUUUCUGUAAGAUAUAAAACAUGAAAAACCUAAUCUGUUACAAUCCUUUCAUUUUAUAUUGCAGAACCCUAGGCCUGUAGGUUGAAUGACUUGGCCAAGUCCACAGAACUAGGUAGCAGCAUAUCUGGCCCUAGCACUCAGAUCCAACUCUGAGUCCAUUGUUCUUUCCACUUCACUGUACAAUUUCUCAUUCUAAUCCAAGAUAUUACAAUAUAGGCAAUGAGGAUUUAUGUUGUUGUUUACAAAAUAACCUAUUCCUCUAUUAGUGACCAGUGAAAAAUAGGGAAUUUGGAAAUAAUGUAGGGAAGGUCAGUGCAAGGUUCAAGAAAGGUUUCGAUAGCUUUCAGUAAGAUGACUAGUGGAGUGGAAAACACUCAGGUAAAUAAAACAUUUUCUCAUUUGCUAGUUUGGCAAAAUCCACCCAGAAGCAUAAUGGGAAAAAUUGUAGAUCACAAUGAAGUCUUUUCUAUUCCAAAGUGAUUGACAAUGUUUAGAGAAUGGUAAGGACUUAAACGAAUGCCUAAGUAGUUAGUCCAAAGGUGUGAGCCCUUUAUCACCAUUCUAAGAACAGUUGUCUGCUGAAAAUAGACUCUUCUACAUGAGCAAGAACACAGCUGAAAUUAGUUAAACAAGAUCUGUGACUGCAAUCUGUGGGAAGAUGUAAGUUAUGGGGGAAAGUGGAAAUGCGGAGAAAAUACAAGAUAAACCCAAAUACCUGCAACAAACUAUAUGUGUGUGGUGGUAGUGAUAUGAUGGGGGGACAAGGUAAAAUUAGUUUUUAUCAGUUAUUUAGAAAAACUGCAAUAGUAUUUAAAUAUAAAUAAAUCAAUGUAAUAAUCUAAAAGACUUUAUGAACAUUUGGUAAAUUAAGCAAGCUUCCUAGUGUGCAGUGUUGAGAGAUGCCAUAUUUUGUAUCUUUUUGCUUCUGGCUAUUGGAACACGUAUUUGAAAAUUAGAUUUACUCAUAUACUUGCUCAGUUCUACCCAAUUAUGUUAGGUCCCAAUACAAAAUAUUGGGAUGAUUAAAAAAAAAUAAAGUACAUUAACUCCAUGUGCUCACUUUCUCAUCCUUCUCCCCAUUCCUAGAUUUGAGGCAAUGAUUACUUACCUCUGCCUGUUCAGUUCCUUCCAGUUACCCUGUAUAGUACAUUGCUUCCCAACACACUGCAUACCUAUAUGAUGAUAGGAAAGGAGAGAAACAAUAAUUUCAUGUUCUUCUCCCUUCCAUAAUUUUUAUCCUUCUCCCUGUCUGGAAAACUCACUACUUCCAAGCCUCAGAGUAUCAGGACUCUAAGAUCAGCUUUCCGGAGAGGAGGAGCAACUUUCACUUGUAUAGCCAAGAAGAAUGACUGAUGGCCUGCAUCUGUGGGAAAGGGGGCAGCCUCUAAGUCUACCCCACAAACUACAGAUACCCUGGCCAUUAAAGAAUGUCAUUAUAGGAGUUCCCGUCGUGGCGCAGUGGUUAACGAAUCCGACUAGGAACCAUGAGGUUGUGGGUUUGUCCCUGCCCUUGCUCAGUGGGUUAAGGAUCCGCAUUGCCGUGAGCUGUAGUGUAGGUUGCAGACGUGGCUCGUAUCCUGCGUUGCUGUGGCUCUGGCGUAGACUGGCAGCUACAGCUCCGAUUAGACCCCUAGCCUGGGAACCUCCAUAUGCCUCGGGAGCGGCCCAAG